GCCUGCUGGAGCAGGGCACGCUGGCAGAAGAGCAUGCCAAGCUGUUCAUGUACCAGCUGCUCCGCGGGCUCAAGUACAUCCACUCCGCCAACGUGCUGCACAGGGACCUGAAGCCCGCCAACAUCUUCAUCAGCACAGAGGACCUCGUGCUCAAGAUUGGGGAUUUCGGGUUGGCAAGGAUCGUUGAUCAGCAUUACUCCCACAAGGCCCGCUAAUGAGUUCUCGUUGUUUGUGUUGAGAAGAGGCAGCUGAAGGAUUGGAGCGUGCUUUCUUCUGAAUUUAUCCCAUUAGGAAGUAGACUAUCUCAAAAGAGAAAAAAAAUGUCAUUAAGACUUCACUGAGCACUGUGUAAGGCUUAAGAAAGGUCAGGAACCACCUCAAGAGUAUGCGGAGGUCCUGAGGAGCACGAUGACAGCUUGACUCACGGUGAGAGUGCGUUGCUCCAGGAAGGGCCACCUCUCCUCCUACCAUAGAGUCCUCGCUGGGGCUGCUGGGGGGACCACCUACUACCCUUGCUUGUAGCACUUAUUUUACCCUGGGCUCACUAAACCUGCUCAUCUCCACUACAACAUUCAAGAACUGUCAAACUCCUGAUCCAGUAACCUUCUAUGACUAGCGUGCAUCAUGGCAUUUACAGUAAAGCUAGCCCUCUACGGCUCACACCUCUGACUGCCAAAGGCACAUAUAGAGGCCCCAUUGCCGGGUCUAUCGUUCUUGCAGCAGUACUUCUAAAAUUAGGUGGGUAUGGUAUAAUACAAGUUACUUUAAUUCUAAUCCCCUGGCAGAAUUUAUAGCAUAUCCAUUCCUCAUUCUAUCUCUCUAAGGGAUAAUCAUAACAAGUUCUAUU
rnacentral:sRNA from 1 species